rnacentral:lncRNA from 14 species
AGUCUGAGUAUGAAGCAGGGCAUUGCUGCAGGGAGACUCUGGGAGUUCCGGGGUGAAGAGAUCUGCCUUGAUCUGGAGACCUCUGCUGAAGGUGAAGACCUCCUAACGGGCCAGACAGCCUUAGCAGGAGUUCAGAAGUCUUACACCAAGGACUAGGAGAGGAGGAUGAAGAAAGGCCUGCUGCAUUACCCAAGAAAGGCAGAACAGUAAGUAAUUUGUCCCUAGAAUGUGGUAGAAUUCCCCUAGUGCACGUUUCCUUGUCUUCAGAGCACUUCUCAGUGCUCAUGCUAGUUUUGGUGGGAUCAUCACUCUCCCCUUCACCUUAGUUGGAGCACCAUGCAGGGAGGGAAGUGUCUGCUCAAAUGUUCAGAGAAGGAUGGAAAGGAAGGGGUGGGAGCCAUUUGGCUUGAGAAAUGGGCACUCAUUUGUCUCCAUUUAUGCUAAGUUUUUAUAGCCCUUUUUAUGUGACUUUUGUGCUCAUUUUGCAUUAGAGGACUGGACAAAAGCAUCAAGCUGUUCUAGGAAGAAGGGUAAGAGGAUCUUAUGCAUUAGAGGACUGGAGAAAAGCAUCAAGAAGUUCUAGGAAGAAGGGUAAGAGGAUCUUAUCAGCUCAGCAAAAUUUAACUUGCUAGGUGUACAAGCUGCCCAAGAUGAAAGUAUGCUCUUCUUUAGGAACAUUAUAUGGAAUAAGAGUCCUGAUGACUCUUUCAUAAAAGAGCUUUUUGACUUGCUCUAUUAAAUAAUUAAAUCUCUCUUCCUGGAGAGGC